rnacentral:lncRNA from 1 species
ACGACUCCUAGGGUGGCCUUUUUUGAUUGGGAGCAAUGUGGGGAUGCAUCCUAACUCUGGACAGGUUGAUUAAAAGGGGAAAGCUUCAGGUCUCUUGGUAGGUUGACUAAAAGGGAAAAAUUUCUGGUCAAUGAAUGUUAUCUGUGCAAAAAUGGUGCUGAGACAUGCUAUCAUAUGCUCCCUUGGUGUCCUUAUGAAAGCCGCCUUUGCUCUUUGACUUAUAGCUUAUUGGGGUUGAGCUGUGUUAUUGCAGAAACUGUGAGGAGGAGGUUGAAGCGUGGAAAGACAUUUCAAGUGACAAGAAAUAAGUCAGACAUAUCCAUUUGACUAUCUUGUGGGCUAUCCGGAAGAAGAGCAAAAGGAGGGCAUUUGAGGGCACACAAACUAAUUUCGAUAAAUUUUAAAAUUCAGGGUUCCAGACCCUAAUUUUUUCAAGGGUCAGCUGCUAUGUUCUAGCGAAGAUAUGGGGAUCUUAUAGCUAUUUUAAUAGAGUUGUAAAUAUUUUUACACAUGGGCUUUACUCCUUUGGUACUAUUGUGAUAAUUUUUACACACAGUUGGAAUUUUUACAUUAUUCAGAUAUAAUUACUUAUAGAGUUCUCUGUUAUUUUUUCUCCAAGUAUUAUGUUUAAGCUCUCUUUAUCUCACAUCAAUAACAAGAAAAAUGUUCUCCUAUCAUGGCAAAUAUUAAGAAACAAAUUAAUUCCAAAGAACAGCAAUGCCCCUCAAAAG